GACACGGCGGCGACUAAUUUACGCACGUGCGAAAAUUGUAAUUCGCCAUGCUGCCUUACUACAAUAUUAGUUGUUUAACAUGUGAUCCAAUAGCUGAGCCUUUGUCUCAUCAAUUUCCAUUGCUGGUCCAGUGAGUGUCACUAAUAGCCAAAAUAUUAUCUAAAACACAUUUAUCAAGCUUGCGAGUGGUCAAGCUCCAAAUUUCCAAUGAAUUCAGUGGGGAGAAAACUCUACUAAAUUGAGUAGGGGUUUUUUUUUCAUACUUCCGCCUUUUAGUUUUGACUUCACGUCAAAUUUUGUAUGUUUGAGCUUUAAAAUGUUUUGUUAAAUAAUUCCCAAAUUUAUUUGUUUUUAAAAUUUAAGUUAGAGUUUUUAAAGUGGCAGUAGAUCACUGCCUUUGUUAUUUUCCUUUUUCUUUUAAAGAAGUAUUAUACAUGGAUAUUGGCCUGGGAACGAAAUCUUUUUACAAACAAAGCUGGUUUUUCUUUUCAAUCUUAAUAUCAAACACAGACAUAAUAUUUUUUUUUUAUUAUACAUGGAAAAGUAAUGCUUCAAAUCACUCCAAAAUUUUUCAGUACUCACUUGUUUUGGUGAUGAUGUUUUCCCCUCUUAGCCCAGCAUUUUUUUAUUGCCACUGCUGGGGACGUUUUUCAUUCUCUCUUAGCGUCUUUUCCGGAGCUGGUGGACAUCACUUUCAAACCGGCGAAGCCCGUGCAUUCCACCCUCCAUUACAUCAAGACGACUGGACCACCCGUUUUUUCGCGCCUCAUUCCCCCCUCCACCAGCCCAUGGGCAUCUCCUCUUCAUUUGGCCCGUAAAGGGGACACGGAUUUUCGCCCGGUGGGGGACUAUCGGCGACUUAAUGCCGUGACGAUAGCAGAUCGCUAUCCCAUUAGGAACCUACAGGAUUUCUCAGCCUCAGUUGGUGUUGAAAGAAAACACGUGAGUGGGAGAAAUACGCUCGUGUCAUAGUAGUUGAUGGUUCAGUUUCCAGGCUGUAUGGUAUUUUUUCUCUGGGGUAAGAAAACCGUUGCAGUUGUUCCAUUUCCUCGUCUCUUGUGUUGUUUUUUUUUCGUCGUCUCUUCAUUUUUGACGAGUUGUUUGAGAGAUAAUUUCGUGUUCGUACUAGGGGUCACCAGUUAUAAGAACUGGAUGAGAUAUGAUGGCUCGGCCAUCUCUCCCCAGUUCUUAUAUUAAUUAUUAAAAUUCAGAAAUACAACAACACGAGGGAUAACGGUAACAACAGAUCAAUAGUUUAUUCUAGGUUGGUGUAGAGCCGUUUCGUUUCUGGGUGAAUAGGCAUGCCGCUAGAAUACCAAAGAAGCUUCGACCACAUGUCGGGGUCGAGUUGUGAGAGCCUGGAAGAACGUCCUGUCACGACGGCUGCUGGAUGGAUAAGAGGUCGAACGCUAUUUCUUUCUCUCCACCUGUUGCAUUGCGCAUGCGUGCUCAGGUACUUCCGCUGACGGCAAGUCCCUUGCACAUGCGCAAUGGCACUUCCCAAGAUGGUGGCCAAUGGCGGCCACAUGCGCCACUACAAUGUCUAAAUCCCUUUUCAUUGCACAAGAUUUUAUGUACAUGCAUUAGAGCACAGUGUGUCAGACAAUGUUGCAGCAUAAUUUUGAGCCCAGCUCAAUGUUUUGGCAACAAAAAAACAUCCAGAAUAACCUUAGUUAAUGUCUCUGAAGUGUAGUCAGGAGAAAAUCUUGGACAUCCUAAUUUUCAAAAACAUAACAAUAACUGAUUUGUGUUCCAUUCCAGAACAAUCACAGAUAAUACCAAUAAACAUGGAAUCUUCAACCUUUCAUUCUGAUCUCAUGUAGAGUGUUAUGAGCAUAUGCCUCUAAGACUUCCUUUUGUAUGGUAUCAGAUAGGAAAUUAACACGUCGUUUAGGCCACUAACUUAUUUCUGCACCACAUUCUUUGGCAAGUUCUUUUAUGAGAUUUACAAAGUUUCCUGUGACACAUGUUAACUUUCUCUACAAAGAUGGAACUAGAAACUUCUUUUAUCUUUUACUAAGGAUAUUCCUUGAACCUUUAACAAUGGAACUGUGAACUGCUCUUAUCUUUUACUUAGGAUUUCCUUAAUUCUCUGAUCACUAUUAUCUUUCACUAAGCGUGUUCUUUAAUUCUUGAAUGAACUGGUAACUACUAAUAUUCUUUAUUAAAGAUAUUCCUUAAUUCUUUCUCUCCAAAGACAGAAUAGUUGGCUUACAUGGAAAGCUUUGCCCAAUGACAUAUGAUCCACAUGCUCAGCUAUUCUAGAAACAACUAUUCAUACCCACAGACCUUAAGAAAAUGAUAACAACCAAACUAUGUUGAGUGAUUUUCUUGUAUGAGUUCAAACUGGGUCACUCUGCCACAAAAGCUCUACAGAAUAUCAAGCGGGCCUUUGGUAAUGCCUUUGUUGACAUCAGAACUGUUCAGAGAUGGUUCCAAAGCUCUUGUUCAGGAGAUGAUAGCCUUGAAAAUAAACCAAGGGGUAGGCCAAAAUCAGUUAUUUGGCAUGAUGGAUUAAAUGCUUUGGUUGAACAAAAUCCAAGAACGAAGGUUCGAAAACUUUCAUCAGAACUCCAAACAUCUCACACAACUGUUUUUGGACAUCUGUAAAAAAUUGGAAAAGUCAAGAAAACAGAUUUGUUCCACGUCAACUGAAUGAGAUUCAAAAAAACAUGCUUUGAAGUGUGCUCCUUAUUGCUUUCUUGACUGUAAAAAGACCAUUUUUGCAUCAAAUCAUUACUUGUGACAACAGCAGGAGAAAAGGACAGUGAUUAGAUGCAGGAGAGUCACAUAAAUGCUACCCAAACCUACCAUUGUACCCUAAAAAAAUGUUAGUGGUCACUGUAUGGUGUUCUGUGAAGUGAGUUAUUCAUUAUUCAUUUUUGUAACAAGGAAGAAAGGUAACAGCAACAUCGUAUUGCCAGGAAAUUCAUUGUAUGCAUGAGAAUUUGAAAAAGAAACAACCCAGACUAGUGAAUAGAGAUGGCCUAAUUUUGCUCCACAACAAUGCACAUCCUCACACUCCUCAAGCUAUGGUUCAAAAGUUGCAAAGCCUGAAUUAUGAGAUUUUGCAACAUCCUCCCUAUUCCCCUGAUAUCUCUCCUACUGAUCAUCACUUCAAUAAAACAUUCUUAAAUAGAGAAGAGGUAAUUGAAGCUUUUGGACAGUUUAUCACAGCAAGAGAUGAAUUUUUUUUUUAAAGAUGGAAUAUAUGACAAAGAGAAACAUUGGGUAAACGUCAUAAAUGAACAUGGUUCAUACCUUGAUUAAAUAAAUCAUUUCUCUAACACUUCUGAAAUAUUUUAUUGUAACCUUUCAAAUACGACAUUUCAUGCGAAACAACCUAAUAUAUAUCAACCAGCUCAAUGAUGAACCACUUAUAGCCAUCUUUGAUAGGCUGCUUCAACAACACCGUUUCAGAUGCUGUUCAAGCUAGAAUUUUAGUGGUAAACCAACCUAAGCACUUAUAGUACAUUAUUACAUUGUCAUUAGAUGCAGUUUUUUUAAAAAUAUGUGUGUGUGUGUGUGUACACAUGCACAUACGGCAGGCUUCAUUUCCAUCUACCAAAUUCACUGACAAAGCUUUGGUCGACCCAAGGCUAUAAGUAGAAGAAACUUGCCUAAUGUGCCACCCAGCGGGACUGAACCUGGAUCCAUGUAGUUGGAAGGCUUCGGUCGUAGGCCUGCAGCCAUGGUGAAGCACCACUUUAAUUUAUUUUUUCUCAGCUUUGUUGUUACUUUAUGACUGGAAGUUAGUCUAUGAUUGAGUUGGGAGCAGCUGAUCUCCCCU